rnacentral:rRNA from 1 species
CAAUAGCGUAUAUUAAAGUUGUUGCAGUUAAAAAGCUCGUAGUCGGAUUUCUGGCUCGGAAGAGCGGUCCGUUGUGCUUCGGCCAAUGUGAACCAGCAUCUUCCAGCCAUCCUCGUGGGAAACUGUAGGGCACAUUGUGUUCCUGCAUGUGACCUGCGUCAUUUACUGUGAACAAAUUAGAGUGUUCAAAGCAGGCUUACGCCACUGAAUACAUUAGCAUGGAAUAAUACUAUAAGACUCCGGUGUCCUAUUGUUGGUUACGCACCAAAGUAAUGAUUAAUAGGGAUAGUUGGGGGUAUUCGUAUUCAAUUGUCAGAGGUGAAAUUCUUGGAUUUCUGGAAGACGAACUACUGCGAAAGCAUUUACCAAGGAUGUUUUCAUUGA